ACUCAGGGAGUACUGUCAGCCAUCUUGACUGAUAAAACAUUGAGUCAUGGCUCUCGCUCCAUUUCAGCUGCACCUAUGAGAAGGUAAAGCUGACGUCUGAUGGCUCUGGCCCGCCGAAACAUAAGCCACUUUCAAAGAAGUAAGAAAGUCAUACAGGUGGAAGACCAUGAGUGAGUAAAUGAUGAGUUUUUAAGGUUUCUGAACAGACUCCCUGGACCCAGCCGUCACAUCCAGGCAAGCUAAUGAACACAGCAGGGCUCCUGGGACAGCGGAUGCAUAUAGAGUUUAGAGGACACAUAAAAACGUCCCCAAAGCUCCCAAAAGAUGACAUGAGCAAUUAAAGGCCAUCCUCUGUCAACACAUCCCCCCCGAGUUCUGUCCGCUUCGUCAACCUCUCAGAGUGAGAGAGAGCCUCAUUAACCACAGAGAGUCAAAAAGGGAUGAUGAUCAUAAAUGGAGGGAAAGAAAGGAGGAAGACUGUGUCUUGAGACAAGAUGGGCCGGGAAUCUGUGUAUGAUCCUUAAACUCUCUGUAACUGACAUACAAAAAAUUGCUUUUUGACAAGGCACAUUAACACCAUUCAGGGAUGCUCAGUUGUAUUAGGUUGAUUUUAUAUAUCUGAAAAGAGACGAAUACAGAUUAUGUUUCAAAACCUACUGAGCUUUCUAUGAAGGCAGCAUUUUAAGGCAUCUUAUGUUUGCUCCUGCUGUGAUGGCUAUUCAAAAAGGUAACAGUUUUGGCAACAUUUUGAGCCUGCAAAAACCCUGCAAAUUUGACCUUUUUGUAAGGGUACAAAGCUUGUCAUUGAGGCAGCACCCUCAAAUGGACAACUGUGUACCUUAUCUACUCCUAAAAGGUGUAUAAUUGUACCUUAGGGCAGUAAUAUACACCCUUAGGGAUCGUUCACCCCUCAAAAAAAGACAGUUCUUUCAUGAUUUAUUCACCGUUAUGCCAGUUCAGACUUUUGGUUAAUUAAAUUAAGAUAAUUUUAAUGAAACCUUAGAGGUUUCCAUACUCUGCAAGUGCAGGUAACCAAAAAUUAGAAGAUUCACAAAGGUUAUAAAGGCAACAUAAAAUAAGACCACAUCAAAUGAGCUGUUUAAUCAAAUACUUGUGAAGAGAUACUGAGUAACAGAUUUAAUUUAGUCUUAUGUUUUGGGUGUGUAAUGACAGACCAAUUGCUCUAUGACAUUUAGGCUGCUACCUCAGUAGGCUGCUCAAUAUGUUUUGGAAAAGAGCUAGUUUGUUUGUAUAUGUGUCCACACUGACCUGUAG